rnacentral:rRNA from 1 species
AGUGAACGCUGGCGGCAGGCCUAACACAUGCAAGUCGAACGGCAGCACGGCAGUAGCAAUACUGUGGGUGGCGAGUGGCGGACGGGUGAGGAAUACAUCGGGAUCUACCCUGGUGUGGGGGAUAACGUAGGGAAACUUACGCUAAUACCGCAUAAGAACUGAGGUUGAAAGCGGCGGACCGCAAGGCGUCGCGCGAUUGGAUGAACCGAUGUCCGAUUAGCUAGUUGGCGGGGUAAAGGCCCACCAAGGCGACGAUCGGUAGCUGGUCUGAGAGGACGACCAGCCACACUGGAACUGAGACACGGUCCCAGACUCCUAUGGGAGGCAGCAGUGGGGAAUAUUGGACAAUGGGCGCAAGCCUGAUCCAGCCAUGCCGCGUGAGUGAAGAAGGCCUUC